rnacentral:rRNA from 1 species
UACGUAGGAUACAAGCGUUAAUCGGAAUUACUAAACGUAAAGCAUGCGCAAGCAAUGAUGUAAAACAAAUAUAAAAUCCCCAAGCUCAACCUGAAACCUGCAUUUGUGACUGCAUCGCUAGAGUACGGUAGAGGGGGAUGGAAUUCCGCGUGUAGCAGUGAAAUGCGUAGAUAUGCGGAGGAACACCGAUGGCGAAGGCAAUCCCCUGGACCUGUACUGACGCUCAUGCACGAAAGCAUAAAAAGCAAACAAG